rnacentral:rRNA from 1 species
UACAGAGGAGCCAAGCGUUGUCCGGAUUGACUGGGCGUAAAGCGCACGCAGGCGGACGCGCGCGUGGGGUGUGAAAUCUGGCCGCUUAACGGCCAGGCGCCAUCCCAUACGGCGCGUCUGGAGUGAUGCAGAGGUCGAUGGAAUUGCCGGUGUAGUGGUGAAAUGCGUAGAGAUCGGCAGGAACACCCAGGGGGAAACCAGCCGACUGGGCAUCUGCUGACGCUGAGGUGCGAGAGCGUGGGGAGCGAACAGG